rnacentral:rRNA from 1 species
GACGAACGCUGGCGGCGUGCUUAACACAUGCAAGUCGAACGGAAAGGCCCUGCUUUUGUGGGGUGCUCGAGUGGCGAACGGGUGAGUAACACGUGAGUAACCUGCCCUUGACUUUGGGAUAACUUCAGGAAACUGGGGCUAAUACCGGAUAGGAGCUCCUGCUGCAUGGUGGGGGUUGGAAAGUUUCGGCGGUUGGGGAUGGACUCGCGGCUUAUCAGCUUGUUGGUGGGGUAGUGGCUUACCAAGGCUUUGACGGGUAGCCGGCCUGAGAGGGUGACCGGCCACAUUGGGACUGAGAUACGGCCCAGACUCCUACGGGAGGCAGCAGUGGGGAAUAUUGCACAAUGGGCGGAAGCCUGAUGCAGCAACGCCGCGUGCGGGAUGACGGCCUUCGGGUUGUAAACCGCUUUCGCCUGUGACGAAGCGUGAGUGACGGUAAUGGGUAAAGGAGCACCGGCUAACUACGU